ensembl:snoRNA U3 Small nucleolar RNA U3
GAGACUGUCCUUUCAGGGAUCAUUUCUAUAGCUCGUUACUAGAGGAGCUCCUCUGGUCGUGCAGCGUCCUGAAUCCCGAGGAGGAGCCCGAGCACCCUCUCCCGACAGUGACGCUGGCUCCAGGUGUGGCUUUUGCAACUGCCUUUUACCACUAAUGAUCAUCUUCUCUUCCUUUGGAAGAGUGAGCAGGGAGAGGACGCAGUCUGAGUGG